GGCUGCAUAGCUCAGUGGUAGAGUGUGUGCUUAGCAUGCACAAGGUUCUGGUUCAGUCCUCAGUACCUCCA
rnacentral:tRNA from 1 species